UCGAGAUUAUACGAGACUAUUAUCAUCAUUAUCGAGAUUCAGAAACCUGUUAUAUAUACUUGUAAGCUUUCAGUUUGGUCUCGACUCAUCUCGUCGCUUGACCAAGUUCCUUUUAUUUUAUAUUUUUAUCGUUGUCUCUUCCUUUUUUUCCAAAAAUCUUAAUUCGCAUACAAUUUAUACAACACAUGGCGUUUGAUCGAUACAUAAUCAUAACACCAGCAACGCGAGCAGCAACAUACGCGAGACAAACAGACGGCCAUGUUUACGUGGAAGGUGCGGCCACAGCCUAAUAACCCGAAUGAAACCGGACACACGCGCUUCGCACGGGUUAGAGAGUGAAUUAUAAGGAUAUAGGUAUGUAGAUAUAUACCUGUAUAUCCAUAGGGGCACACACUCACACGCCUCUGAAU
rnacentral:misc_RNA from 1 species